CGUUUUUAUGAGUAAACAAUAAUAGCGCAUAUGGUUUUCUAAGCAAUUCUUUCGAUUUAAUUAAUCUGAUUGGCUUGGUAAUUAGAAGUAAUUUUAACUAAUAUCGUGUAUUAUAAAUUAACUAAAAUAAGAUUUAAAAAAUAUUUUUAACAAAGUUAUACAUAAGAGCAAUGAGUACGUUUCAUUGUUACUUCUGGCGCAUCUCAUCAUUCCUCUUCAGGAAGGUGACAAAAGAACAAGAACGACUAGUAUUUAUUUACAAUUAAAAGUGUAUGUAAAAAUUUUCUUUAGUAAGUAAAUGAAUACUUUAAUUAUUGAAUUGUAUUUGUGGUGACAGUGACGAUAUGAAGAAGUUUUAAAAGCCUUUGUAAUCUAAGUAUAAUCCCUAAGAUUAAAAAAAAUAAAAACAAAAAAAAAAAAAAAA